GAUGAACGCUGGCGGCGUGCCUAAUACAUGCAAGUCGAGCGAACAGACGAGGAGCUUGCUCCUCUGACGUUAGCGGCGGACGGGUGAGUAACACGUGGAUAACCUACCUAUAAGACUGGGAUAACUUCGGGAAACCGGAGCUAAUACCGGAUAAUAUAUUGAACCGCAUGGUUCAAUAGUGAAAGACGGUUUUGCUGUCACUUAUAGAUGGAUCCGCGCCGCAUUAGCUAGUUGGUAAGGUAACGGCUUACCAAGGCAACGAUGCGUAGCCGACCUGAGAGGGUGAUCGGCCACACUGGAACUGAGACACGGUCCAGACUCCUACGGGAGGCAGCAGUAGGGAAUCUUCCGCAAUGGGCGAAAGCUUGACGGAGAAACGCCGCGUGAGUGAUGAAGGUCUUCGGAUCGUAAAACUCUGUUAUUAGGGAAGAACAAAUGUGUAAGUAACUAUGCACGUCUUGACGGUACCUAAUCAGAAAGCCACGGCUAACUACGU
rnacentral:rRNA from 1 species